rnacentral:misc_RNA from 1 species
CAGAGUUCAUGCCCUAACGGGUAGAUCUCCCACCCUGUGUUAUUAUCACCUUUGUUGCUUUGGCGGGCCGCCAGGCUCCGGCCAGGCUACCGGCUCCGGCUGGUACGCGCCCGCCAGAGGACCCCCAACCCUGAAUGUUAGUGUCGUCUGAGUACUAUAUAAUAGUUA